AAUGCGGAUCGACCACGGUCCCGGCUACCGCGUCUACUACACGCGGCGGGGAUCGAUCUGGGUGAUCCUGCUUUGC
rnacentral:tRNA from 1 species